rnacentral:snRNA from 1 species
GAAUAUGAGGGUGAUUUGGCUGCAACAUCUGUCAGCCCACUGAUAGCCAGAGUUUAUUUAUCCUAAUCUGGCUGACUAGGUGGCUGUCUAUUCUCCCUCACCGCUCCAUCUACAUGCAUCACUCACAAAGCUGCAUGCUCAGUAGAAGAUGACAACCUUUUUAGAAAAAGUGGGACCUUUCUAGGGCCAAGAAUAUCAAAGUGGCAGGAGCUAGAGAUUGCUCAGUGGAACCUGAUCUCAAUCCCUAGCACUCCCAUAAAAAUGCCAAGCAUGGUGGCGUGUACCUAU